GAAACUGCGAAUGGCUCAUUAAAUCAUAUGUGAUUUCUUAGAUCGUACUCUCCCUAGAGGAGCGAUGGAUAACUGUGGUAAUUCUAGAGCUAAUACAUGCAAUCCAGCUCAGACCUUAGGGGACGAGCGCUCAUAUUAGACCAAGAUCCACCCUUGGGGCAACCCUCGGUAAAUCUGGUGACUCUGGAUAUUAAUCAGUUGAUCGCAAGACCUUCGCGUCGGCGACGUAUCUUUCAAGCGUAUGCCCUAUCACCUGUCGACGUUAGGUUAACAGCCUAUCGUGGGGGUAACGGGUAGCGGGGAAUCAGGGUUCGAUUCCGGAGAGGGCGCAUGAGAAAUGGCGACCACAUCCAAGGAAGGCAGCAGGCGCGCAAAUUACCCAAUGCCGACACGGCGAGGUAGUGACGAAAAAUAACAAUACGGGACUCUUUUGAGGCCCCGUAAUUGGAAUGAGCACAAUCUAAAUCCUUUAGCGAGGAUCUAUUGGAGGGCAAGUCUGGUGCCAGCAGCCGCGGUAAUUCCAGCUCCAAUAGCGUAUAUUAAAGUUGCUGCAGUUAAAAAGCUCGUAGUUGGAUCUCGGGUAUCGUCUAGGCGGUCCUGCUCACGCAGGCACUGCUCUGACGACCUAACUGGAAGUAUUCGACCCCGAGUGCCCUUCAUUGGGUGCACGUGGGUGGCUUCUGCGUUUACUGUGAAAAAAUUAGAGUGUUCAAAGCAGGCUUAUAUUGCUCGAAUAGUCGUGCAUGGAAUAAUGGAAGAUGACACUGGCGCAUUUCCGUUGGUCUCUGUGACUGGUGUAAUGAUUAAGAGGGACUGCCGGGGGCAUUGGUAUGGCGGGGUUAGAGGUGAAAUUCUUGGAUCCUCGCCAGACCAACAAAA
rnacentral:rRNA from 1 species